ensembl:misc_RNA Metazoa_SRP Metazoan signal recognition particle RNA
GCAGGGCGUGGUGGCUCUCACCUGUAGUCCCAGCUACUCAGGAGGCUGAGACAGGAGGAUCGCUUGAGCCCAGGAAGUCGAGGCUGCAGUGAGCCAUGAUCAUGCCACUGCACUCCAGCCUGGGUGACAGAGUGAAACCCUGUCUCAU